UACGGAAGGUGCAAGCGUUGUUCGGAUUGACUGGGCGUAAAGAGCACGUAGGCGGGUUCGUAAGUCGAUUGUGAAAGCCCAGGCUUAACCUGGGAACGGCAAUCGAAACUGUGAAUCUUGAAUACCCAAGAGGUUAGUGGAAUUCCUGGUGUAGGAGUGAAAUCCGUAGAUAUCAGGAGGAACACCGGCGGCGAAGGCGGCUAACUGGUGGUGUAUUGACGCUGAGGUGCGAAAGUGCGGGGAGCAAACAGGAUUAGAAACCCCAGUAGU
rnacentral:rRNA from 1 species